rnacentral:rRNA from 1 species
GACAGAGGAUGCAAGCGUUAUCCGGAAUGAUUGGGCGUAAAGCGUCUGUAGGUGGCUUUUUAAGUCUGCCGUCAAAUCCCAGGGCUUAACCCUGGACAGGCGGUGGAAACUACCAAGCUGGAGUACGGUAGGGGCAGAGGGAAUUUCCGGUGGAGCGGUGAAAUGCGUAGAGAUCGGAAAGAACACCAACGGCGAAGGCACUCUGCUGGGCCAACACUGACACUGAGAGACGAAAGCUAGGGGAGCAAAUGGG